AUGUCUCAUAAGGUCACAGCUCUGUGGCGAAGAAACAAUUGCGAGGUGGUGGUUGCUGAUGUGAGGUCUACAGACAAAAAAUCCUCUUUCCUUCUCCAACAUUCAGAGUUUAAAACUCUGCAGCCCCACAAAUGGCUUGUGGAUGAGACAAUCGAAUGGUACUUUCAAGCCACCACAAAAAGCUGUGGUCACGGUACAAAGAGUUACACCCUAAAUCAUUACUCAGCCCAAGUCAUUCUAAAUGGAGAAAGAAGUUCAGUGUGCAAGCAAAGUCUGCCCAAGUAUUUGCAUGAACCAUCAGGCCAAGUGUUCUUGGUUGACCCUGCUGGACAGAAAGAGAACGAGGAAUCGGAACACGCUGCAUUAAAAUUCAGAGAAUACUUCAAAAUGAGAAGAUCCUGCCAUGGAAAAGACGACUUGGUGGACAUAAAGUGGAAAGGAGGGGAAAUAACUCACAACAUGCAGGAGGACACCUUCAGCUGCGGGGUCUUUGUAAUGCAGUUGUGUGGGACAGCCAUAUGUUCAGUUCAUGCCUGUGAUGUCAGAGUUCAACAAAGCCAACAACUGCUUCAUGUGUGCCACUGAUAAAGAACCUGGAUGUGGCCCAAAGACUGGAUCGAAUAUUUUGCAUGCCAACGGUGGGUCCAUGUGCUGUGCCUAGGAAUGAAGACAAAAGAGUUCAACAGAGUAAAGAACACAAACUGGAAGUGCAGUCUUUGUUGUUGAAAAUCCACACUGAAGAGGCUCUGAAAUGUACAUCAACCAGGGAUAAAGAGAAAGUUAACACUGAAAUGUUUUGUACUUUGAAGAAAAGUGUCUGACAUGUUGGAAAAGAUUAAAGGUCUACAAUUUCCGUUUAAUUUGCCAAAAUAAAAUGUUUAUUCAUUGAUUUACUGGCCACCAUUACUGUGGUUACAUGUUCAUAUAUGUAUUGACCAGCAAACCCACUGCAGCCUACCUCACUAGCUCACUCUCCAUCCCUGCUUUGGACAAUUAUUAACAUGACUCUCGUACUUUGCCCUUUCCUUUAUGGUUGAUAUUAAUGAUGAAAGGAGAUAUUCUGUACAGCUGUUAAAUACUGAGGAGAAAUAAAUAAAAAAUAGGGAAAAUAAGUACUUAGAACUAUCAAUUAUUAAAGAUAAAUAUUAAAGAAAAGGGUAAACACAACACUGGACUGAAUCCCCUAAUUGUCAAACUAAUAUUAAUGAACAACAAUAUCGAAGAUACAUGACUAGAGGUUAUGCAAUAUGGGUGUAUAUCCACCACAUGCUUCCUAGGUGUCUAAUUGACCAAGGAGCUAUUGAAAUUUAAAACUAUGAAAAAUGUACUGCGUGAUUUUACAGUACACAAACAAGAGUGUGCAAUAUAUAAUGCUAGUCCGUAGACAUUCUAAAGUUUGAGUCUAGUAGGUCACAUGACCAAGGAGCAAUUGAAGUUUGAAAGUUUGAAAAAUGAAUGUAAAAUCGAGUGAGAUGAAAAUGGACAAACUAAAGGGUGUGCAAUGUGUAGGCUCACUGAGUGGACAUUCUGAACCUUGUUUGACGUCAGGUCACAUGACCAAGGAGCUAUUGAAAUUUGAAAGUUUGAAAAAUUCAUGGAAAAACAUGUGAGAUGAAAAUGGACAAACUAACGGGUGUGCAAUGGUAUCAAAAAUGGUAUAAAAAAAUCUGUAUACAAUCAACCUAUUCCAGACCAGUCUGCACGUUUUAAAGUUUGAAUGGCGUUUCUAUCAUUGAAAUGCAUUGGGAUUCAUGCACAUUUAUUUGUAGUGUGAAAAGUAUAAGUAGUAUCAAAACGUUUGACCAAAACGUUGAAAGCAACUUGGAGACAUUCUGCACCUUUUAAAGUUGCUUUAGUCUCGGUAGCAUUAGCUUUUUUUGCGCUAGAGGUUCCAGCAGAAGGCAAAUCAUAACUAUACUGAACAAAAAUAUAAACGCAACGUGUAAAGUGUUGGACCCAUGUUUCAUGAGCUGAAAUAAAAUAUCCCAGAAAUGUUCCAUGCACACAAAAAACGUAUUUCUCUCCAAUUUUGUGCACAAAUUUGUUUACAUCCCUGUUAGUGAAUGUUUAUCCUUUGCCAAGAUAAUUAUUCCACCUGACAGGUGUGGUAUAUCAAGAAGCUGAUUAAACACCAUGAUCAAUACUGUGCUGGUGACAAUAAAAGGCCACUCUAAAAUGUGCAGUUUUGUCACACAAUAAAAUGCCACAGAUGUCUCAAGUUUUGAGGGAGUGUGCAAUUGGCAUGCUGACUGCAGCAAUGUCCACCAGAACUGAUCCCAGAGAAUUGUAUGUUCAUUUCUCUACCAUAAGCCGCCUCCAACGUUGCUUUAGAGAAUUUUGUCAGUACGUCCAACUGGCCUCACAACCGCAGACCACAUGUAACAACGCUAGCUCAGGACCUCCACAUCCGGCUUCUUAACCUGCGGGAUCAUCUGAGACCAGCCACAUGAACAGCUGAUGAAACUGAGGAGUAUAUCUGUCUGUAAAAAAGCUAUUUUGUGGGGAAAAACUUAGGGCAGGGGCUGGGAUUAAAAAUAAAAUAAUAAAUUAAACAUGGCAGCAGCACAAAACAGGGUACAAACAUUAUUGGGCACAGACAACAGCACAAAGGGCAAGAAGGUAAAGACAACGAUACAUCACGCAAAGCAGCCACACCUGUCAGUAAGAGUGUCCAUGAUUGAGUCUUUGAAUGAAGAGAUUGAGAUAAAACUGUUCAGUUUGUGUAGUUGUGGCAGCUCGUUCCAGUUGCUAGCUGCAGCAAACUGAAAAGACGAGCGAUCCAAGGAUGUGUGUGCUUUGGGGACCUUUAACAGAAUGUGACUGGCAGAACGGGUGUUGUAUGUGAAGGAUGACGGCUACAGUAAAUAUCUCAGAUAGUGGGGAGUGAGGCCUAAAAGGGUGGUAUGGUAGCAACUGGUUAUAGUUGAAAAGUAGAUAGAUGGGACAAUUGAUUGAUUGAUUUAUUGAUAGGAUAGCCUGAACUUGUGAAAGUUAGUUUGGUGUCUUUAACUUGAAUGGUUCAAGAGUUGCUAUUGUUG
rnacentral:lncRNA from 13 species